CCUACGGGGGGCAGCAGUGAGGAAUAUUGGUCAAUGGACGCAAGUCUGAACCAGCAAUGCCGCGUGCAGGAAGACGGCCCUAUGAGUUGUAAGCUGCUUUUGUACGAGGGUAAACGCAGAUACGUGUAUCUGUCUGAGCGUAUCGUACGAACAAGGAUCGGCUCCCUCCGUGCCAGCAGCCGCGGUAAUACGGAGGAUUCAAGCGUUAUCCGGAUUUAUUGGGUUUAAAGGGUGCGUAGGCGGUCGGGUCAGUUAGUGGUGAAAUCCCGAGGCUCAACUUCGGAAUUGCCUCUGAUACUGUUGGGCUAGAGUGUAGUUGCGGUAGGCGGAAUGUAUGGUGUAGCGGUGAAAUGCUUAGAGAUCAGACAGAACACCGAUUGCGAAGGCAGCUUACCAAGCUACGUCUGACGUUGAGGCACGAAAGCGUGGGGAGCAAACAGGAUUAGAUACCCGUGUAGUC
rnacentral:rRNA from 1 species